GGAGCUUCAUCUUCUCCUUCCAAUGCCAUUGAUUUCCUCACUUUGUGUCAUAGUCUUAAGACCACAAAGCGGAAGGGAUGGGUAAAUCAUGCAAUAAAAGGUUCUGAAUCUAUUGCUGAUCAUAUGUAUCGUAUGUCAUUGAUGGCUCUGAUUGUUGGCGACCUUCCUGGUGUUAACAGGGAAAGGUGUAUCAAGAUGGCCAUUGUUCAUGAUAUUGCAGAAGCAAUUGUCGGAGAUAUAACUCCAUCUGAUGGUGUACCCAAGGCUGAAAAAAGCAGACUUGAGCAAGCUGCUUUGACUGAAAUGUGCAAAGUUCUUGGUGGAGGGAUGAGAGCUGAAGAGAUUAAAGAACUAUGGCAAGAGUAUGAAAACAAUGCUUCAUUGGAAGCCAAUCUCGUAAAAGAUUUU
rnacentral:misc_RNA from 1 species